GCAUGAGCAUGAGCAUCACGUGACUCUUGUUUUCAUUUACGAGGAAAGUUAAGGUUACGUUUUCACACAGCUCACGUAUAUCCAUCUGUUUUCUUCAAUAUCCUGCCGGUAAUCAUGUAAUUAUGAGUAAUUGGUUCGCGAGAGGAAAUCAUUUUAUUGCGACUCUAAUUUCCGCAUCCAGAUCCAGCGGCAUCGCCCACUUUUUCAAGGAUCUCUGAUUAUCCAGCAGUAGUGCUUUCAGUGUGUUUUCCACCUAGUUUUUCCUGGAUUUCUGGAAACAUGGUUUUCGAACCUCUAUCAGCGUUAACAAAUUCAUCCUUAAUCAAUUUCCUUGAAUGCAGUUUGUGCCACCGAAGUAUAUUCCAUUGGCAUCUCUGCAAGAUUUUUUAUUGGAAAGCGUAUUGGGAGUUAUUUUCUUGUGGUGUUUGUACAGUUGGAGGAAGAAAAAACAUUCAGCUCUUUCACUGGAGGUAUGUUAAUUGUUAACAUUUUCAAAUAAGCAGGCAAAGAGGCUUAUAAAGGCCAAAAAAUCAUUCUAAACUCUCUUCUUAAUUUUCAAUGUUAACAAAUCUUAAUAUUUUUGCAUCUAGUUUCAAGUAGAAAUUACCUGGCAGAUAUUUUGUUUUACCUACUCUACAAGUUUAGCCAAACAAUUUACCAGCUCCAGUUUAAGCUCUACUGGUUCUGCAGCUCUAAAAUUGCACCAAAUUUCCCUUUACAGUGUUGUGGUCUUUUAAAGAAUGUGAUGUACCGAUAGAAGACUUCCAGCUAUCGUAAUUUGAGGACUUAUUGAAGAUAAAUAAUAAAUGAAUGUUUUAUUGUUGAACUAAUUACUUAGGUGUUUCUCCCUCUGAAAAUGUAUCAUUAUUGCUGAUAUGUUUCCUCUCAAAGCAACUGUUGCUCUUUCUGUUACGUUUUUUACUUUGCUCUAUGUAACAAAAGAUUGAUCAUAAUAGUCGCCGAA
rnacentral:lncRNA from 1 species